rnacentral:rRNA from 1 species
UACGUAGGGGGCUAGCGUUGUCCGGAUUUAUUGGGCGUAAAGAGCGUGUAGGCGGCCAGGUAGGUCUGCUGUGAAAACUCGAGGCUCAACCUCGAGACGUCGGCGGAAACCAUCUGGCUAGAGUCCGGAAGAGGAGAGUGGAAUUCCUGGUGUAGCGGUGAAAUGCGCAGAUAUCAGGAAGAACACCCGUGGCGAAGGCGGCUCUCUGGUACGGUAUUGACGCUGAGACGCGAAAGCGUGGGGAGCGAACAGG